GAUUAAGUUAUUAAGGGCGCACGCACGGUGGAUGCCUUGGCACUAGAAGCCGAUGAAGGACGUUACUAACGACGAUAUGCUUUGGGGAGCUGUAAGUAAGCUUUGAUCCAGA
rnacentral:rRNA from 1 species